GAUGAACGCUGGCGGCGUGCCUAAUACAUGCAAGUCGAGCGAACAGACGAGGAGCUUGCUCCUCUGACGUUAGCGGCGGACGGGUGAGUAACACGUGGAUAACCUACCUAUAAGACUGGGAUAACUUCGGGAAACCGGAGCUAAUACCGGAUAAUAUAUUGAACCGCAUGGUUCAAUAGUGAAAGACGGUUUUGCUGUCACUUAUAGAUGGAUCCGCGCCGCAUUAGCUAGUUGGUAAGGUAACGGCUUACCAAGGCAACGAUGCGUAGCCGACCUGAGAGGGUGAUCGGCCACACUGGAACUGAGACACGGUCCAGACUCCUACGGGAGGCAGCAGUAGGGAAUCUUCCGCAAUGGGCGAAAGCCUGACGGAGCAACGCCGCGUGAGUGAUGAAGGUCUUCGGAUCGUAAAACUCUGUUAUUAGGGAAGAACAAAUGUGUAAGUAACUAUGACGUCUUGACGGUACCUAAUCAGAAAGCCACGGCUAACUACGUG
rnacentral:rRNA from 1 species